CCUGCCUCCACAGCCUAUUAUGACAGGCUAUCAACUGUGGCCUGGGCAGCCACAGUUAGGCCUGAACUGCAUUGUCUAUAUGGAAGAGGAGGACUGAGGUCAGACAUCAAGGUCAAGACGGGAAAGGGAGUGAGGAGAACCCUUGACACUCUAGAAAUGGGGAGACUAAAGCUGAAAAAAGGAUACAUGAUGGACAAUGAUGCCUGGAUUAACCCAAAUAGGGAUUUCAGACAGAGAUUACACGGGUAUCCACCGCCUCCACCCCCACCCCCACGACCUACACAGCCGCAUACGGUCUCGGGCCAACCCCGGCUUCUUCAAUGCUCAGUGGUAAACCUGAACCCCUUUGAGGAGAGGAACACCAUCUUGGAGUUAGAGCAGGCCAACCAAAAACUGAAGGAUAUGAACCAGGAGCUGAGGGAGCAGCUCGAAGACAUCAUGGAGCCAAGGGAGAUGAGGCAUGACUUUAUGUGCCCCAACCAUCAGCAGCAAUUACAGAUCCUGUCUUGGAAAGAGCUGCAGCAGAUGAGGCUGUCCUUUGAGAGAAAGAAGACAUCUAUUACAGAGGUAAUAUACCAAUCUUGUCAGGUGGGCGGGAUCUCUAAGGGUCACCCAGUCCCUUCCCCAGCCUUCCCACCAAACUGAUGCCAGCUGAGCCCCAGCUCCACCCCCCAAGCCUUUGACCUAGUCCACAUGUUCCCAGUGUGGCUCUCUGGAAGGAAAGCAGCAGCUAGACUUGGGCCAGGGGGCAACUGGAGCUGGAAUCCUUACUGUUCCUGGGAACUCCCCUGCCCCUGAGUUCCUCUGAAAUACUAGAAAUAAUAAUAGCC
rnacentral:lncRNA from 1 species